rnacentral:rRNA from 1 species
UCAAUGGGCGAGAGCCUGAACCAGCCAAGGCCGCGUGAAGGAAGACGGCCCUAUGGGUUGUAAACUUCUUUUGCGGGGAACAAAAGCCGAUUUGCGAAUUGGUCUGAGUGUACCCGAAGAAAAGCAUCGGCUAACUCCGUGCC